rnacentral:rRNA from 1 species
UACGGGGGGGGCAAGCGUUGUUCGGAAUUACUGGGCGUAAAGGGCUCGUAGGUGGCCAACUAAGUCGGACGUGAAAUCCCUCGGCUUAACCGGGGAACUGCGUCUGAUACUGGAUGGCUUGAGUUCGGGAGAGGGAUGCGGAAUUCCAGGUGUAGCGGUGAAAUGCGUAGAUAUCUGGAGGAACACCGGUGGCGAAGGCGGCAUUCUGGACCGAUAUUGACGCUGAGGAGCGAAAGCCAGGGGAGCAAACGGG